ACCCGUUCCUUUCCCUCCCAGCCUCGGAACUCGGAGCCCAUCGCCCGUCUCGGAAGGAUGGCGAUGGCUCUGGAGAGCCCAACGUGCCGACGCGCCCGACACAUCCAACGCAAGGAGGCAUGCCGCGCCACGGCACACCCAGCAGCACCAUUUCCUUUCCUUUCCUCACGUACAUGCGGCUCUCCCCCCCUCUCUCCAGUUACUAAGGAGGGAUGCUGCCUCCCGUUUCGCCACAGCCCCCUCCCCCCACGCAACUGUACUAUAAAAGUUUCGCCUUCCUAGGCUCGGCUGCGGUGGUGUCCGGAGCUGAUCUGCGCGGCAGUGCUGCCGCUCGCGGCCGGCGCGCGGCCGGCCGUCCCGGUGUGCUCUCCGGCGCUGGAGCGGGAGGAGGAGGAGAUGGUGACAAAGAUGGAACAGCUAAAAAAAACAUCAACAUCAAGAAGGGUGAUGCCCUGCUGCGGUGGCUGCAUCUGGUGAAUGGUGACCGGCCAUUCAACUUCCAUAGCCUUCCUUGCAUUUGGAAGAGGACUUGAAUCUGGUUGUCUUGUGUGUUCGAUGCAACUGCAGCAACAAUGGUGAUGAUGAUAGUAGUUACCUUUUCUUUGCAAAGCGGGAUGAUAUAUUAAUUUAUUAGUUGUACCUAAAAUCCAUAAGAACCCAAAUAUCAGUGUUUAUCUGGUCAAGCAAGUGAAGUUGUGUUGUUAUUACUGUUUAUAGGUAAUGAUGGGUUUGUCAGAAACUUCAAAUGAAUGGAACAAAAGAAAAUUAGCAAUA